UUACUCUUGCUUAUGUGAAGCUUGGGUAAGGUUGUGAAUAAAUAAUUGGAGCUUGAAAUUGUGAAUACUGGAACUUGGAGGAAGCAGAUUAGUUGAGGUUUUGAGGGCUGUGUUCUUUUAGGAAAAUUGUCUUGGAAUAAUACUUGGGAAUCGGCUAAGAUGCAGGUCGAGAGGCAUCUCGUUAGGC